rnacentral:rRNA from 1 species
CCUACGGGAGGCAGCAGUGGGGAAUAUUGGACAAUGGGGGGAACCCUGAUCCAGCCAUGCCGCGUGUGUGAAGAAGGCCCUCGGGUUGUAAAGCACUUUCAGUGAGGAAGAACGCCUGGUGGUUAAUACCCAUCAGGAAAGACAUCACUCACAGAAGAAGCACCGGCUAACUCCGUGCCAGCAGCCGCGGUAAUACGGAGGGUGCGAGCGUUAAUCGGAAUUACUGGGCGUAAAGCGCGCGUAGGUGGCUUGAUAAGCCGGUUGUGAAAGCCCCGGGCUCAACCUGGGAACUGCAUCCGGAACUGUCAAGCUAGAGAGCAGGAGAGGAAGGUAGAAUUCCCGGUGUAGCGGUGAAAUGCGUAGAGAUCGGGAGGAAUACCAGUGGCGAAGGCGGCCUUCUAGACUGACACUGACACUGAGGUGCGAAAGCGUGGGUAGCAAACAGGAUUAGAUACCCGUGUAGUC